rnacentral:tRNA from 1 species
GGAUCGAUGCCCGAGUGGUUAAAGGGAAUGGAUUGUAAAUCCAUUGGAUUUUCCUACAUUGGUUCAAAUCCAAUUCGAUCUA